rnacentral:rRNA from 1 species
AGUUUGAUCCUGGCUCAGGAUGAACGCUGGCGGCGUGCUUAACACAUGCAAGUCGAACGAACCUUCGGGUUAGUGGCGGACGGGUGAGUAACGCGUGAGAAUCUGCCCUCAGGAGGGGGAUAACGGCUGGAAACGGCCGCUAAUACCCCAUAUGCCGAGAGGUGAAACGAGUUUUCGCCUGAGGAUGAGCUCGCGUCUGAUUAGCUAGUUGGUGGGGUAAGAGCCUACCAAGGCAUCGAUCAGUAGCUGGUCUGAGAGGAUGAUCAGCCACACUGGGACUGAGACACGGCCCAGACUCCUACGGGAGGCAGCAGUGGGGAAUUUUCCGCAAUGGGCGAAAGCCUGACGGAGCAACGCCGCGUGAGGGAUGAAGGCCUCUGGGCUGUAAACCUCUUUUAUCAAGGAAGAAGAUCUGACGGUACUUGAUGAAUAAGCCACGGCUAAUUCCGUGCCAGCAGCCGCGGUAAUACGGGAGUGGCAAGCGUUAUCCGGAAUUAUUGGGCGUAAAGCGUCCGCAGGCGGCCUGAUAAGUCUGUUGUCAAAGCGUGGAGCUUAACUCCAUUUCGGCAAUGGAAACUGAGAGGCUUGAGUGUGGUAGGGGCAGAGGGAAUUCCCGGUGUAGCGGUGAAAUGCGUAGAUAUCGGGAAGAACACCAGUGGCGAAGGCGCUCUGCUGGGCCAUAACUGACGCUCAUGGACGAAAGCCAGGGGAGCGAAAGGGAUUAGAUACCCCUGUAGUCCUGGCCGUAAACGAUGAACACUAGGUGUCGGGGGAAUCGACCCCCUCGGUGUCGUAGCCAACGCGUUAAGUGUUCCGCCUGGGGAGUACGCACGCAAGUGUGAAACUCAAAGGAAUUGACGGGGGCCCGCACAAGCGGUGGAGUAUGUGGUUUAAUUCGAUGCAACGCGAAGAACCUUACCAGGGUUUGACAUCCUGCGAAUCCCUUGGAAACUUGGGAGUGCCUUCGGGAGCGCAGAGACAGGUGGUGCAUGGCUGUCGUCAGCUCGUGUCGUGAGAUGUUGGGUUAAGUCCCGCAACGAGCGCAACCCACGUCUUUAGUUGCCAGCAUUCAGUUGGGCACUCUAGAGAGACCGCCGGUGAUAAACCGGAGGAAGGUGUGGAUGACGUCAAGUCAUCAUGCCCCUUACAUCCUGGGCUACACACGUACUACAAUGCUACGGACAAAGGGCAGCAAACUCGCGAGAGCUAGCAAAUCCCAUAAACCGUGGCUCAGUUCAGAUCGUAGGCUGCAACUCGCCUACGUGAAGGAGGAAUCGCUAGUAAUCGCAGGUCAGCAUACUGCGGUGAAUACGUUCCCGGGCCUUGUACACACCGCCCGUCACACCAUGGAAGUUGGCCACGCCCGAAGCCGUUACUCCAACCCUUGUGGAGGAGGACGUCGAAGGUGGGGCUGAUGACU